ACCUACACUAUAAUUAUUACUCUUAUGAGUCUUACUUCAGUAAGCACUUUGCACUGAUGAUAUGAAAUGUGUUCUCCUUUCAGUAUCAAAAGUUAAAGAGUAAAGUAUAUGGCAGAUUGGAGAGUCAUCUAAUACUCCCUCUAUUGCAAAGACUGUGGCUAUCACUCUAUCUUUGCAAAGCUGAAAAAAGCUGGAAUUUUUACAAGGUGACUACUUGAAGUUCAUAUGUUUAAAAUUUUUGAGAAUGAAACAAAAGAAACUGUAUAUCGUUAAGUGUCUAUUUUAGGCUAUACACAAAGUAAUAUGUUGAAUUUUCGUAACUUUUUUCAAGUUGAAAUUUUCUUUCUUAAUUGUUCAUUUCUGAAAUAAAGGAUAAAUAAAAAAUUAAUGAUCAUCACUGAUUAUCAGAAGAUCACUACUGAAGAUAACAUUACAUAGAAAGGAGGGUUGUUAAAAAUCAAUCUACUCUGAGGAUUCAAUACUCCAAGUAUGCCAGAAGAGGGAAAUUCCACAACCCCUAGGCACUGUUCUUUGAAAGAAGUGGGCAGAAAAAUCAGAUUUGCUGAGAACAUCUGGGAUUACAGAGAGUGCUGAUGUGGAGAAAGGAAGGGCAUCGUGAUCUUAGAGAAACCCUCCUCUAUAGAAUGAGGAAACCAAGGCAUAUGAGAAGAUGAUCU